AUUGAACGCUGGCGGCAUGCCUUACACAUGCAAGUCGAACGGCAGCAUGAUCUAGCUUGCUAGAUUGAUGGCGAGUGGCGAACGGGUGAGUAAUACAUCGGAACGUGCCCUGUAGUGGGGGAUAACUAGUCGAAAGAUUAGCUAAUACCGCAUACGACCUGAGGGUGAAAGUGGGGGACCGCAAGGCCUCAUGCUAUAGGAGCGGCCGAUGUCUGAUUAGCUAGUUGGUGAGGUAAAGGCUCACCAAGGCGACGAUCAGUAGCUGGUCUGAGAGGACGAUCAGCCACACUGGGACUGAGACACGGCCCAGACUCCUACGGGAGGCAGCAGUGGGGAAUUUUGGACAAUGGGCGAAAGCCUGAUCCAGCAAUGCCGCGUGUGUGAAGAAGGCCUUCGGGUUGUAAAGCACUUUUGUCCGGAAAGAAAUGGCUCUGGUUAAUACCCGGGGUCGAUGACGGUACCGGAAGAAUAAGGACCGGCUAACUACGU
rnacentral:rRNA from 1 species